UACGAAGGGGGCUAGCGUUGUUCGGAUUUACUGGGCGUAAAGCGCACGUAGGCGGAUAUUUGAGUCAGAGGUGAAAUACCAGGGCUCAACCCUGGAACUGCCUUUGAUACUGGGUAUCUUGAGUAUGGAAGAGGUGAGUGGAAUUCCGAGUGUAGAGGUAAAAUUCGUAGAUAUUCGGAGGAACACCAGUGGCGAAGGCGGCUCACUGGUCCAUUACUGACGCUGAGGUGCGAAAGCGUGGGGAGCAAACA
rnacentral:rRNA from 1 species